rnacentral:rRNA from 1 species
AACGAACGCUGGCGGCGCGUCUUAAGCAUGCAAGUCGAACGGUAAGGGAGAGCUUGCUCUCCCCUAGAGUGGCGGACUGGUGAGUAACGCGUGGGUGACCUGCCCUGAAGAUGGGGAUAGCUAGUAGAAAUAUUAGAUAAUACCGAAUGUGCUCAUUUACAUAAAGGUAAAUGAGGAAAGGAGCUACGGCUCCCUUUAGGAUGGGCCCGCGUCCCAUUAGCUGGUUGGUGAGGUAAAGGCUCACCAAGGCAACGAUGGGUAUCCGGCCUGAGAGGGUGAACGGACACAUUGGGACUGAGAUACGGCCCAAACUCCUACGGGAGGCAGCAGCUAAGAAUCUUCCGCAAUGGACGAAAGUCUGACGGAGCGACGCCGUGUGAAUGAAGAAGGCCGAAAGGUUGUAAAAUUCUUUCGCAGAUCAAGAAUAAACAUAGGAGGGAAUGCCUGUGAGAUGACGGUAAUCAUGCGAAUAAGCCCCGGCUAAUUACGUGCCAGCAGCCGCGGUAACACGUAAGGGGCGAGCGUUGUUCGGAAUUAUUGGGCGUAAAGGGUAUGUAGGCGGUUAGGUAAGCCUGGUGUGAAAUCUACGAGCUCAACUCGUAAACUGCAUUGGGUACUGCUUGACUUGAAUCACGGAGGGGAAACCGGAAUUCCAAGUGUAGGGGUGGAAUCUGUAGAUAUUUGGAAGAACACCGGUGGCGAAGGCGGGUUUCUGGCCGAUGAUUGACGCUGAUAUACGAAGGUGCGGGGAGCAAACAGGAUUAGAUACCCUGGUAGUCCGCACAGUAAACGAUGUACACUAGGUGUCGGGGCAAGAGCUUCGGUGCCGACGCAAACGCAUUAAGUGUACCGCCUGGGAAGUAUGCCCGCAAGGGUGAAACUCAAAGGAAUUGACGGGGGCCCACACAAGCGGUGGAGCAUGUGGUUUAAUUCGAUGAUACGCGAGAAACCUUACCUGGGUUUGACAUCAAGAGCAAUGACAUAGAGAUAUGGCAGCGUAGCAAU